AUGGCAGCAGCAGCUUUGUCCAGAAGCAGAGGAGUGGCUGAUGUCAAUACCACCAGAGGCCUGUUCUUCAUCUUCUCCCUGCUGUGUCUGGUUUGCCUCGCAAGUUCAUUCAUUGACAAGGACCAACUGGAAAAGCAAAAGGAAGAUCUCCAGAAAGCAGAACAACAACUGGAAAGUUUGAAGGAAAAGUACAAAUUAGAAAUGGCCUCCAGUUUAGAGCUCAUAAAUGAAUAUAUGGGCUACCUGGACCCAAUGAUAGCAUUAGUGAAGAAAGCUACUGGAACAUCACCUGAUGACUUUCCACCAGUGGAUGCACUUCUGCAGAGCGUCAAGGCCAACAUGGAGAAAACCAAGAGUUACGUGGAAGACCAAAAAGUGAAGUUAGGUGCAGAACUAGAGAACCUUGAAAAGGAUCUUGAAAAACAAAAGAAAUUGAUCAAAUUCCUUGAGGAGCAGCAGGGUGAAUUGUAACUUCCAUGUCAAUUAGUGCCUCUAUCUCUGAUAUUGCAUCUAUUGUACCUAAGUUACUACCUUAAAUUUCUCUUUGUUUGUGCAACCUCAUUUCAAAAUGAUUUUAGAGUCACUGUUGACAGGGAUGUGAAAUGUGUUGAUAUACCAACAACUUUUUUCAUACAUUACUACUGAUGUGCAGCCAUUACAAUUUAGGGAGUGGAAACAAUGGUUUUGACUAUAUUUUGACUAUGUUUUUGUUUUCUUUUGCUGCUUUAUUUUCACAAUUUCCUUCAAAACAUAAGCAUGAGCAGUUAAAUAACAAUAAUGAUUCAAAUAUUGUACAUGAAAUCAAGCAUAUGUGGAUAUCUAAUAAACUCAGUACCUUGGAAUUAUUGUCUGUCUGUUGUCUGUUCUUUCUUUACAAUCCUAAAAGAUGAGGCCCAGAGUUCUGAUAUAAAUAUUUUCUCUGUAGAGGUAAUGCCAGGCUGGUAAGUUAUCCUCUCUGUUGCUUAUAACAAAGACCAUUUUUACUCACACUGAAAGAAUUCAAGCAUAUUAUUGAGAGAGAGCAGCUCUUUGAAUUAGGAUCAAUGCUGACGUGUUUGUAGUAAUCAUACAAACAUUAUGUGAUGAUGGUUUGUGGGAUCAAA
rnacentral:lncRNA from 15 species